GCCUUUGUAAAGGCCUGUCUUAGUGAGCAGUUUCUUAUGUCUGAUCUUGGACCUCUUCGCUACUUUCUUGGGAUUGAAGUCUCUUCUACCUCUGAUGGCUCUUUUAUAUCCCAGGAAAAGUAUAUCCAGGAUCUUCUUGCUCGUGCUGCUCUUACUGACGAGCGCGUUGUUGAGACUCCUAUGGAGCUCAAUGUUCACCUCCGUGCUACUGAUGGUGAUCCUCUCCCUGAUUCGACGCGUUAUCGUCAUCUUGUUGGCAGUCUUGUCUAUCUAGCUGUCACUCGUCCGGACAUAUCUUAUCCGGUUCAUAUUCUAAGUCAGUUUGUCUCUGCCCCCACCUCGGUUCACUAUAGUCAUCUCCUUCGUGUUCUUCGAUAUCUUCGAGGCACGAUCUCUCACCGUCUAUUCUUUCCUCGCUCCAGUUCUUUACAGCUCCAGGCCUAUUCGGAUGCUACGUGGGCUAGUGAUCCUUCCGAUCGCCGUUCACUUUCUGCUUACUGUGUUUUUCUUGGUGGUUCUCUCAUUGCCUGGAAGUCGAAGAAACAGCUUGCAGUUUCCCGUUCGAGUGCCGAGGCUGAGUUGCGAGCAAUGGCUCUUUUGACGGCAGAGGUGACUUGGUUACAGUGGUUACUUCAGGAUUUUGGUGUUUCUGUC
rnacentral:rRNA from 1 species